GGGGGGUGGGGGGUUUCCUAUUUUUGGGAGGAAUUCUCUUUUUUGGAGAGGAAUUCCCAUUUUUUUGCGGGGAAAUUCCCAUUUUUUGGGGUGAUUCCCAUUUCUUGGUGUGAUUCCCAUUUUUUGGGGGGAAAUUCCCGUUUUUGGGGUGGGGAAUUCCCAUUUUUGGGGUCUCCACAGUUUUUGGGGUUCCAGAUUUUCCCUGGCUUUGAGGAUUCUCUCUGGUUUUUAUGGGGUUUCCGUGUUUUGGGAGAAUUUUCCCUGGUUUUUAUGGGGUUUCCCUGGUUUUUAUGGGGUUUCCCUGGAUUUUAUAGGAUUUCCCUGUUUUUUAUGGGGUUUCUCCGUUUUUUACAGGAUUUCUCUCUUUUGGGGGGAAUUUUCUCUGUUUUUGGGGGAUUUCCCCUGCUUUUUAUGGGGUUUCUCUGUUUUGGGGGGAUUUUCCCUGUUUUUGAUGGGGUUUCUCUGGUUUUUAUGGGGUUUCCCUGUUUUUUAUGGGGUUUCCCUGUUUUUUAUGGGGUUUCUCUGUUUUGGGGGGAUUUUCCCUAUUUUUUAUGGGGUUUCCCUGUUUUUCAUGGGAUUUCUCUGGUUUUUUAUGGGGUUUCUCUGUUUUUUACAGGAUUUCUCUCUUUUGGGGGGAAUUUUCUCUGUUUUUGGGGGAUUUCCCCUGCUUUUUAUGGGGUUUCCCUGUUUUGGGGGAUUUUCCCUGGUUUUUAUGGGGUUUCUCUGUUUUUAUGGGGUUUCUCUGGUUUUUAUGGGGUUUCUCUCUUUUGGGGGGAAUUUUCUCUGUUUUGGGGGGAUUUUCCCUGUUUUUUAUGGGGUUUCCCUGUUUUGGGAGGAUUUUCCCUGUUUUUUAUGGGGUUUCCCUGUUUUGGGAGAAUUUUCCCUGGUUUUUAUGGGGUUUCCCUGUUUUGGGAGAAUUUUCCCUGUUUUUUAUGGGGUUUCUCUGUUUUUUAUGGGUUUUCCCUGGUUUUUAUGGGGUUUCCCUGGUUUUCAUGGGGUUUCUCUCUUUUGGGGGGAAUUUUCUCUGUUUUUUGGGGAAUUUUCCCUGCUUUUUGAUGGGGUUUGGGGACAUCGAGAUUGACACAAGGGUGGGGACAUGGGGACAGGGGGACACCGGGAUUUGGGGACAUCGGGAUUGGCAGCGGGAUGGGGACAGGGACACAGGACAGGGACACGGGGAUAUCAGGAUGGGGACAUCGGGAUUGACUCGGGGACAUUGGGAUGGGCACCAGGAUGGGGACAGGGACACGGGGAUGGGGACAAGGACACGGGGACACCGGGGUUGGGGACAUCGGGAUUGACCCGGGGACAUUGGGAUCGGCACCAGGAUGGGGACAGGGACACGGAUGGGGACAAGGACACGGGGACAGGGACAGGAAUGGGGACAGGGAAAAGGGGAUGGGGACAAGGACAGGGAUAUGGGGACAGGGACCUCGGGGCCUGGCAGUGCCACUGGCACAGGGACAAGGACACGGGGACACCGGGAUUUGGGACACCGGGACUGGGACACCGGGAUUGACUCGGGGACAUCGGGACGGGGACACGGGCGCAGGGAUGCAGACAGGGACAGGGAUUUGGGGACAUCGGGAUUUGGGGACAUCGGGGUUUGGGGACAUCGGGGUUUGGGGACAUCAGGAAUCUGGGGCCUGGUGGCAUCACUGGCGCGGGGCCAAGGCCGCAGGGACACGCGUGACACGCUCGGGGACACGCGCAGAGGACACGCGUGACACGCUCAGGUACGCGUGACACGCUCGGGGACACGCAGGGGACACGCGUGUGCAGCCCCGGGUGACGCAGCAGCCGCCUCGCGGCCGGGCCGGGGGGGCCUGGCAGCCCCGGGUGUCCCCUGGGUGUCCCUUGGGUGUCCCCUGGGUGUCCCUUGGGUGUCCCUGGCACACCUGGCACACCUGGCACACCUGGCACACCUGGCACACCCCCCGUGUCCCUUGCACGCCCCCCCGGCUCCUUCCAGCACCUUCCCCGCCCCUGCCCGGCCCUUGCACGCCCCUGCGGCACCGCAGCGGCGCCUUGCACACUCACCCACCCUGAGCCUUGCACACCCAUCCCUGAGCCUUGCACACCCACCCUGAGCCUUGCACACCCACCCUGAGCCUUGCACGCUCAUCCCUGAGCCUUGCACACUCACCCACCCUGAGCCUUGCACACCCACCCAGACCACUCCACGCUCAUCCUUGAGCCUUGCACGCUCACCCACCCUGAGCCUUGCACACCCACCCUGAGCCUUGCACACCCACCCUGAGCCUUCCACGCCCAUCUCUGAGCCUUGCACACCCACCCAGA
rnacentral:lncRNA from 1 species